GGCGGAGCGAGCUGGGCGGUGCGCCGUGGUCCCGGAAUCUGAGGCUUCUUUGGGUGCUGGCGGGGCGGAGGUGCUGGCUCAGGGUGAGGUUUGAAGAGUUGGAAUGACAACAAAUCAGAAUGAACUAGAGUGAGACCGGAAAAACUUUGAAUAAGCCCACAUUUUCUUUGAGGUGUAAAGAUGAUCAUGAUCAGGAGGAGCAUGAACAAGAAUAGAGCUGUGGAUGGAAAUACUUGGGAUCAGAUAUUGUAAAAACAAAAUAAACAGCCAAAUGACUCAACUGCAGUUGUACCAGAGAGAAUCUCAGGAGCCUAGCAGAAGAUUACGCUGGGAAAAGUUCAGGGAGCUAAGCUGAGAUUUUUUGCUGCCCACCACAGGUAAGAGAAAUUUUGGAGUUUAAAUCUAACCAAGUUAG
rnacentral:lncRNA from 1 species